ensembl:ncRNA ZK662.9 ncRNA
GGAAUACCUCCGUGCCACGGUGAAUGCGUUUCCGAAGAGACUCAGGGAUGUUGUGAAGAACAAAGACAACCGCAUCGAACAACUUUGAUAAUUUCCUGUUUAGAAAUAUUUUAAUAAACCAUUGUUGAAUUUUCUUGUUAAAACGAGUC